rnacentral:rRNA from 1 species
UACGGAGGGUGCAAGCGUAAUCGGAAUACUGGGCGUAAAGCGCACGCAGGCGGUCUGUUAAGUCAGAUGUGAAAUCCCCGGGCUUAACCUGGGAACUGCAUUGAAACUGGCAGGCUUGAGUCUUGUAGAGGGGGGUAGAAUUCCAGGUGUAGCGGUGAAAUGCGUAGAGAUCUGGAGGAAUACCGGUGGCGAAGGCGGCCCCCUGGACAAAGACUGACGCUCAGGUGCGAAAGCGUGGGGAGCAAACAGG